rnacentral:rRNA from 1 species
AUUGAACGCUGGCGGCAUGCCUUACACAUGCAAGUCGAACGGUAACAGGUCUUCGGAUGCUGACGAGUGGCGAACGGGUGAGUAAUACAUCGGAACGUGCCCGAUCGUGGGGGAUAACGGAGCGAAAGCUUUGCUAAUACCGCAUACGAUCUACGGAUGAAAGCAGGGGACCGCAAGGCCUUGCGCGGACGGAGCGGCCGAUGGCAGAUUAGGUAGUCGGUGGGAUAAAAGCUUACCAAGCCGACGAUCUGUAGCUGGUCUGAGAGGACGACCAGCCAAAGUGGGACUGAGACACGGCCCAGACUCCUACGGGAGGCAGCAGUGGGGAAUUUUGGACAAUGGGCGAAAGCCUGAUCCAGCCAUGCCGCGUGCAGGAUGAAGGCCUUCGGGUUGUAAACUGCUUUUGUACGGAACGAAAAGCCUCUUUCUAAUAAAGAGAGGUCAUGACGGUACCGUAAGAAUAAGCACCGGCUAACUACGUGCCAGCAGCCGCAGUAAGAC